ensembl:piRNA 21ur-6589 ncRNA
UUUGAUCUUUCAAACAUCACA